UUAAGCGACUAAGCGUACACGGUGGAUGCCCUGGCAGUCAGAGGCGAUGAAGGACGUGCUAAUCUGCGAUAAGCGUCGGUAAGGUGAUAUGAACCGUUACCCCGAGGAAAAGAAAUCAACCGAGAUUCCCCCAGUAGCGGCGAGCGAACGGGGAGSAGCCCAGAGCCUGAAUCAGURUGUGUGUUAGUGGAAGCGUCUGGAAAGGCGCGCGAUACAGGGUGACAGCCCCGUACACAAAAAUGCACAURYUGUGAGCUCGAUGAGUAGGGCGGGACACGUGGUAUCCUGUCUGAAUAUGGGGGGACCAUCCUCCAAGGCUAAAUACUCCUGACUGACCGAUAGUGAACCAGUACCGUGAGGGAAAGGCGAAAAGAACCCCGGCGAGGGGAGUGAAAAAGAACCUGAAACCGUGUACGUACAAGCAGUGGGAGCACGCUUMGGCGUGUGACUGCGUACCUUUUGUAUAAUGGGUCAGCGACUUAUAUUCUGUAGCAAGGUUAACCGAAUAGGGGAGCCGAAGGGAAACCGAGUCUUAACUGGGCGUUAAGUUGCAGGGUAUAGACCCGAAACCCGGUGAUCUAGCCAUGGGCAGGUUGAAGGUUGGGUAACACUAACUGGAGGACCGAACCGACUAAUGUUGAAAAAUUAGCGGAUGACUUGUGGCUGGGGGUGAAAGGCCAAUCAAACCGGGAGAUAGCUGGUUCUCCCCGAAAGCUAUUUAGGUAGCGCCUCGUGAAUUCAUCUCCGGGGGUAGAGCACUGUUUCGGCAAGGGGGUCAUCCCGACUUACCAACCCGAUGCAAACUGCGAAUACCGGAGAAUGUUAUCACGGGAGACACACGGCGGGUGCUAACGUCCGUCGUGAAGAGGGAAACAACCCAGACCGCCAGCUAAGGUCCCAAAGUCAUGGUUAAGUGGGAAACGAUGUGGGAAGGCCCAGACAGCCAGGAUGUUGGCUUAGAAGCAGCCAUCAUUUAAAGAAAGCGUAAUAGCUCACUGGUCGAGUCGGCCUGCGCGGAAGAUGUAACGGGGCUAAACCAUGCACCGAAGCUGCGGCAGCGACGCUUAUGCGUUGUUGGGUAGGGGAGCGUUCUGUAAGCCUGYGAAGGUGURCUGUGAGGYAUGCUGGAGGUAUCAGAAGUGCGAAUGCUGACAUAAGUAACGAUAAAGCGGGUGAAAAGCCCGCUCGCCGGAAGACCAAGGGUUCCUGUCCAACGUUAAUCGGGGCAGGGUGAGUCGACCCCUAAGGCGAGGCCGAAAGGCGUAGUCGAUGGAAAACAGGUUAAUAUUCCUGUACUUGGUGUUACUGCGAAGGGGGGACGGAGAAGGCUAUGUUGGCCGGGCGACGGUUGUCCCGGUUUAAGCGUGUAGGCUGGUUUUCCAGGCAAAUCCGGAAAAUCAAGGCUGAGGCGUGAUGACGAGGCACUACGGUGCUGAAGCAACAAAUGCCCUGCUUCCAGGAAAAGCCUCUAAGCAUCAGGUAACAUCAAAUCGUACCCCAAACCGACACAGGUGGUCAGGUAGAGAAUACCAAGGCGCUUGAGAGAACUCGGGUGAAGGAACUAGGCAAAAUGGUGCCGUAACUUCGGGAGAAGGCACGCUGAUAUGUAGGUGAAGCGACUUGCUCGUGGAGCUGAAAUCAGUCGAAGAUACCAGCUGGCUGCAACUGUUUAUUAAAAACACAGCACUGUGCAAACACGAAAGUGGACGUAUACGGUGUGACGCCUGCCCGGUGCCGGAAGGUUAAUUGAUGGGGUUAGCGCAAGCGAAGCUCUUGAUCGAAGCCCCGGUAAACGGCGGCCGUAACUAUAACGGUCCUAAGGUAGCGAAAUUCCUUGUCGGGUAAGUUCCGACCUGCACGAAUGGCGUAAUGAUGGCCAGGCUGUCUCCACCCGAGACUCAGUGAAAUUGAACUCGCUGUGAAGAUGCAGUGUACCCGCGGCAAGACGGAAAGACCCCGUGAACCUUUACUAUAGCUUGACACUGAACAUUGAGCCUUGAUGUGUAGGAUAGGUGGGAGGCUUUGAAGUGUGGACGCCAGUCUGCAUGGAGCCGACCUUGAAAUACCACCCUUUAAUGUUUGAUGUUCUAACGUUGACCCGUAAUCCGGGUUGCGGACAGUGUCUGGUGGGUAGUUUGACUGGGGCGGUCUCCUCCUAAAGAGUAACGGAGGAGCACGAAGGUUGGCUAAUCCUGGUCGGACAUCAGGAGGUUAGUGCAAUGGCAUAAGCCAGCUUGACUGCGAGCGUGACGGCGCGAGCAGGUGCGAAAGCAGGUCAUAGUGAUCCGGUGGUUCUGAAUGGAAGGGCCAUCGCUCAACGGAUAAAAGGUACUCCGGGGAUAACAGGCUGAUACCGCCCAAGAGUUCAUAUCGACGGCGGUGUUUGGCACCUCGAUGUCGGCUCAUCACAUCCUGGGGCUGAAGUAGGUCCCAAGGGUAUGGCUGUUCGCCAUUUAAAGUGGUACGCGAGCUGGGUUUAGAACGUCGUGAGACAGUUCGGUCCCUAUCUGCCGUGGGCGCUGGAGAACUGAGGGGGGCUGCUCCUAGUACGAGAGGACCGGAGUGGACGCAUCACUGGUGUUCGGGUUGUCAUGCCAAUGGCACUGCCCGGUAGCUAAAUGCGGAAGAGAUAAGUGCUGAAAGCAUCUAAGCACGAAACUUGCCCCGAGAUGAGUUCUCCCUGACNNNNNNNNNNNNNNNNNNNNNNNNNNNNNNNNNNNNNNNNNNNNNNGUAGCGCGGUGGUCCCACCUGACCCCAUGCCGAACUCAGAAGUGAAACGCCGUAGCGCCGAUGGUA
rnacentral:rRNA from 1 species